rnacentral:rRNA from 1 species
UUAGAGUUUGAUCCCUGGCUCAGAUUGAACGCUGGCGGCACGCCUAACACAUGCAAGUCGAGCGGUAACAUGGUUAGUAGCAAUACUAACUGAUGACGAGCGGCGGACGGGUGAGGAACACGUAGGAACCUGCCCAAGAGAGGGGGACAACCAAGGGAAACUUUGGCUAAUACCGCAUAAUCUCUGAGGAGAAAAGUUGCCCGUAAGGGUAGCGCUUUUGGAGGGGCCUGCGUCCGAUUAGUUAGUUGGUGAGGUAAUGGCUCACCAAGACGAUGAUCGGUAACUGGUCUGAGAGGACGGCCAGUCACACUGGGACUGAGACACGGCCCAGACUCCUACGGGAGGCAGCAGUGGGGAAUCUUGGACAAUGGGGGCAACCCUGAUCCAGCGAUGCCGCGUGGGUGAAGAAGGCCUUCGGGUUGUAAAGCCCUUUAGGCUGGGAAGAAGUAUCUGGGAUGAAUAAUCCUGGAUAUUGACGUACCAGCAGAAUAAGCACCGGCAAAC